GGAUCGUAAAGCUCUGUUGUUGGUGAAGAAGGAUAGAGGCAGUAACUGGUCUUUAUUUGACGGUAAUCAACCAGAAAGUCACGGCUAACUACGUGCCAGCAGCCGCGGUAAUACGUAGGUGGCAAGCGUUGUCCGGAUUUAUUGGGCGUAAAGCGAGCGCAGGCGGAAUGAUAAGUCUGAUGUGAAAGCCCACGGCUCAACCGUGGAACUGCAUCGGAAACUGUCAUUCUUGAGUGCAGAAGAGGAGAGUGGAAUUCCAUGUGUAGCGGUGGAAUGCGUAGAUAUAUGGAAGAACACCAGUGGCGAAGGCGGCUCUCUGGUCUGCAACUGACGCUGAGGCUCGAAAGCAUGGGUAGCGAACAGGAUUAGAUACCCUGGUAGUCCAUGCCGUAAACGAUGAGCGCUAGGUGUUGGGGACUUUCCGGUCCUCAGUGCCGCAGCAAACGCAUUAAGCGCUCCGCCUGGGGAGUACGACCGCAAGGUUGAAACUCAAAGGAAUUGACGGGGGCCCGCACAAGCGGUGGAGCAUGUGGUUUAAUUCGAAGCAACGCGAAGAACCUUACCAGGUCUUGACAUCCUGUGCUACACCUAGAGAUAGGUGGUUCCCUUCGGGGACGCAGAGACAGGUGGUGCAUGGCUGUCGUCAGCUCGUGUCGUGAGAUGUUGGGUUAAGUCCCGCAACGAGCGCAACCCUUGUCUUUAGUUGCCAUCAUUAAGUUGGGCACUCUAAAGAGACUGCCGGUGACAAACCGGAGGAAGGUGGGGAUGACGUCAAGUCAUCAUGCCCCUUAUGACCUGGGCUACACACGUGCUACAAUGGGCAGUACAACGAGAAGCGAACCCGCGAGGGUAAGCGGAUCUCUUAAAGCUGUUCUCAGUUCGGACUGCAGGCUGCAACUCGCCUGCACGAAGCUGGAAUCGCUAGUAAUCGCGGAUCAGCACGCCGCGGUGAAUACGUUCCCGGGCCUUGUACACACCGCCCGUCACACCAUGGAAGUCUGCAAUGCCCAAAGUCGGUGGGAUAACC
rnacentral:rRNA from 1 species